rnacentral:ncRNA from 1 species
CCAAGGAAUCUAUGAGUCCGUAGGUUUCAAACCCAUGAGGUGCAAGGAAACUGAAUUGUUUGAUCCCCCCUCUGGGGAGCAACAUGGACCGACCUUGAUUUUUUGUGAAGGUUUGAGUUUGAGCAUACCUGUUAGGACCCGAAAGAUGGUGAACUAUGUCUCAGCAGAGCAAAGCCAAAGGAAACUCUGGUGGAGGCCUAUAACAAUACUGAUAUGUAAGUCGUUUGUCAAACUCGGGGUGAAAGAUUAAUUGAACCAUCUAGUAGUUAG